rnacentral:rRNA from 1 species
ACGGGAAGAAAGAACUACAGGAUUCCCCUAGUAACUGCGAGUGAAGCGGGAAAAGCUCAAAUUUAAAAUCUGGCAGCUUUGGCUGUCCGAGUUGUAGUCUGGAGAAGCGUUUUCUGUGCUGGACCGUGUACAAGUCUCUUGGAACAGAGCGUCGUAGAGGGUGAGAAUCCCGUCUUUGACACGGACUCCCAGUGCUUUGUGAUGCGCUCUCAAAGAGUCGAGUUGUUUGGGAAUGCAGCUCAAAAUGGGUGGUAAAUUCCAUCUAAAGCUAAAUAUUGGCGAGAGACCGAUAGCGAACAAGUACCGUGAGGGAAAGAUGAAAAGCACUUUGGAAAGAGAGUUAAACAGUACGUGAAAUUGCUGAAAGGGAAACGAUUGAAGUCAGUCGCGUCGGCCAGAACUCAGCCUGGCUUUUGCCUGGUGCAUUUUCUGGUUGACGGGCCAGCAUCAAUUUUGAUCGCUGGAUAAAGGCCUUGGGAAUGUGGCACCUUCGGGUGUGUUAUAGCCCUUGGUUGUAUACAGUGGUUGGGAUUGAGGAUCACAGCAUGCCUUUACGGCCGGGGUUCGCCCACGUUCAUGCUUAGGAUGCUGGCGUAAUGGCUUUAAACGACCCGUCUUGAAACACGGACCAAGGAGUCUAACAUGCCUGCGAGUGUUUGGGUGGAAAACCCGAGCGCGCAAUGAAAGUGAAAGUUGGGAUCCCUGUCGCGGGGAGCACCGACGCCCGGACCAGACCUUUUGUGACGGAUCCGCGGUAGAGCAUGUAUGUUGGGACCCGAAAGAUGGUGAACUAUGCCUGAAUAGGGUGAAGCCAGAGGAAACUCUGGUGGAGGCUCGUAGCGAUUCUGACGUGCAAAUCGAUCGUCAAAUUUGGGUAUAGGGGCGAAAGACUAAUCGAACCAUCUAGUAGCUGGUUCCUGCCGAAGUUUCCCUCAGGAUAGCAGAAACUCAUGUCAGAUUUAUGUGGUAAAGCGAAUGAUUAGAGGGCU